rnacentral:misc_RNA from 1 species
AACAACCAAUGAAAUAAUUAUAGAACCCCUUAUUCUACAACCCCAAGUAACUGGGCAGCCCCGUGUUCUCACCAUUUAACAUCACACAGGCAAAUGAUUCUCCUGCUGCAACCUUUUUCUUGACGUGCUAUCCCCUCAAUAAGAGAACUCAUGUCCUCUGAAAUGAAAUUUAAUUCUUGACCCAGAUGGCAACGUCCUCAGCACCUCAAUAAGAAAACUCAUGCCCUCGGAAUGAAAUAUACUUCUUCACCCAGAUGGCAAUGUCCUCAGCACAGGCCUGAGCCUGGGGGGUCUUCAGAAGCAUGUCAAGAGUUGCAAAUUCAUGAACUGCAUCCUUGUACUCGAGAACUGGUGCAUCAACAUUCACCUUCCUCAACUCCUCAGAGUAAGCAAUGGCUCGGUCUCUCAUCCAGUCAUGUUCAGCAACAAUUGUCAAUGUUGGAGGCAUGAGCUUUAAAGGAGGUCCCCUGCCUGGGACCAAGGGGUUGGCAGCGGGGUGGUCAAGGCUGAACUCUUCCUCUGGAAGGAAGAGUUUCCAUGCGAGUAUACACAUCUGCUUAUCAUAGAAAUAGGAAUUUGCCAACUUUAUCUCAGAAUGUGUGGGGACACUCCCGAUGAAGAAUGGAUACAUCAAAACCUGUGCUACAACCUUAACUGGGUCCAAUAGCUUGCCUGCCUCUACAGC